GCGAUCCAAAAUGGGAGUCUUUUUGUAAAAUGUUGAUCCGGUAUUUUUCAAAAUGCACCCUGGUUUCGCGAAUAGACACGGCUGCGCCGGAUACCGCCGGCGACGGGGACCCAUCGCCGCGACGCCGGCGUUAGCUGCUUCACGCCCAACCGUCGACCGGGAGCCGCCACGAGUUAUCCGCGCCGGGGAAGAGAUUCCCUUCAAUGGCGUGGGGCUUGCCUCCGCGGCCGCCGUUGUCUAAGGUGCAGGCCCUCUACGAGCUCUGCAAGCGCACCUUCCCCUCCCCUUCGGUCGCCGGCGCCUCGCCCUCUUCCCCGCCCGCCGACGCCGUCCGCAGAGUCCCCUCGCUCAUGGGAACUUCAGGCAUAAGGAAUCCAAGAUGGUUGAGUGCACAACUCAUGCAGAGGCCGGAAUAAAUAAAUUCCUUGAUCUAAAAUAAGGAAUCCAAUAUGAACCAUAGCAUCAGGAAGCACACUUUGGUGAUAGUACAGUUCAAAUCUAGAGCUUUUAGUGUUCUAUUUUCAUGGUUGUAUUUCCCCUUUAUUCUCCUUUGUCGGAGAAGCUGUUGUACUUCGGUGAAGAGAUAAGUUUUGACAGUAAUUUCUCAGUCAGUUUAGUGAGGGGAUCAGGUUCAGUGCCCAGAGCAGCCGAGCAGAGCUUGUAGCUUACUUAUGUUGUGCAACGCUGGUAUGAUUUUCAAUGCAAAAUUUUG